UACGUAGGGUGCGAGCGUUGUCCGGAAUUAUUGGGCGUAAAGGGCUCGUAGGCGGUUUGUCGCGUCGGGAGUGAAAACCCAGGGCUUAACCCUGGGCUGGCUUCCGAUACGGGCAGACUAGAGGUAUGCAGGGGAGAACGGAAUUCCUGGUGUAGCGGUGAAAUGCGCAGAUAUCAGGAAGAACACCCGUGGCGAAGGCGGCUCUCUGGGACGGUACUGACGCUGAGACGCGAAAGCGUAGGGAGCGAACAGG
rnacentral:rRNA from 1 species